AUUGAACGCUGGCGGCAUGCCUUACACAUGCAAGUCGAACGGUAACGCGGGGCAACCUGGCGACGAGUGGCGAACGGGUGAGUAAUAUAUCGGAACGUGCCCAGUAGUGGGGGAUAGCCCGGCGAAAGCCGGAUUAAUACCGCAUACGACCUACGGGUGAAAGGCGGGGGAUCGCAAGACCUCGCGCUAUUGGAGCGGCCGAUAUCAGAUUAGGUAGUUGGUGGGGUAAAGGCCUACCAAGCCUACGAUCUGUAGCUGGUCUGAGAGGACGACCAGCCACACUGGGACUGAGACACGGCCCAGACUCCUACGGGAGGCAGCAGUGGGAAUUUUUGGGACAAUGGGCGCAAGCCUGAUCCAGCCAUGCCGCGUGCGGGAAGAAGG
rnacentral:rRNA from 1 species